rnacentral:rRNA from 1 species
UACGUAGGGGGCAAGCGUUGUCCGGAUUCAUUGGGCGUAAAGAGCUCGUAGGCGGCUUGGCAAGUCGGGUGUGAAACCUCCAGGCUCACCUGGAGACGCCACCCGAUACUGCCAUGGCUAGAGUCCGGUAGGGGACCACGGAAGUACCUGGUGUAGCGGUGAAAUGCGCAGAUAUCAGGUGGAACACCGGUGGCGAAGGCGGUGGUCUGGGCCGGCACUGACGCUGAGGAGCGAAAGCGUGGGGAGCGAACAGG